rnacentral:lncRNA from 1 species
CUAUUUCUUCCUUGUUAUUUUGUCGCAGGUCUUCAUUCAUUUUUACCUUUUCUAGAUAUUUCAUACAUGCGUUUUACUUUCCUUUAUGGUACUGGGGAUUGAAACCAGGGACACUAAACCACUGAGCCACAUCCCAAGUUCUUUAUUUUAUUUAAAAACAGGGUCCCACUGAGUUUUUUAGUGCCUCACUAUGUUGCUGAGGCUUGGUUUGAACACAUAAUUCUCCUGCAUCAUCCUCCCAAGCCACUGGCAUUACAAGUGUGUGUCAUUGCACUUGGCUCACCCACAAAAUUCUGAAACAGAUUUUUGUCAUGACUUCCCAGCCUGGCAUCAGACUCCUGAGCAUCAGUGAUAUCCCUAUUCUAGUCUCCUUAACACCUAGGACUAUAGAUGUGUGCCCUACAUCAUGCUUUUAUCCAUUUAGUUGAGUGGCUACUUUUUCAUAUCAAUAUCCUUUGUGUUCAGAUGAUGCAUGGAGAUUCUUUGCACACAUCAAUUUUAUACUUCUGUGAAAAGGUACAUAGAGGGCUUUGUCUUUUUUGAAGGAAUCUAGAAGCCUUCAGAAAUAUUAAGUGACAACAUGGGAGCAAAAAUUUUUGAAACUGUAGAUAGGGAGGAUAAAUGUGUCUUAUCAAGUUGCCAUGGCAAAAAAUGACAUGAAUUGAGUGGUUUGAAAAAAUACUAAUUUAUUUCUCACAAUUCUGGAAUCUGUAAAGUUUAAGGUCAAGGUUCUAGCAUAUUAGAUUACCAUAAGUGUUCCCUUCCUGGCUUGUAAAGAACCUGUCAUGUGAAGAUUGAUGAAGGUUUCAAGGAUCAAGGGUCUGUCAUGAAAGAAGAUGUGAGGCAUAGUGGGAAUAUUGGGCAUCCUUUAUUCAGAGGUGGGUGUAGACUUUAGCCAGCCCCCAGAUUCAAACCGAGCUCACAGCCAGUUCCAUUAUAGUCCUCAUUUUGCCCAUAUUAGCCCAUUUUUCCUGAGUCUUUUCCACAAACCUUUUAAUACAAAAUAUAAGUCAAGGGGCUGGGGUUGUAUCUCAGUGGCAGAGCACUUGCCUCGCAUGUGUGAGGCACUGAGUUUGAUCCUCAGAACCACAUAAAAAUAAACAAAUAAAAAGGUACAAAAAACGUAGGUCAAACAAAGGCAUACUGUGCUUACAAGUUAAUGCUUAUGACCUGGAGUACAUAAACUGGAUCAGAGGGUUUCAGGCCUUGACUAACCACAGCAUAGCCAUUU